CCAGACUCCUACGGGAGGCAGCAGUGAGGAAUAUUGGUCAAUGGGCGCGAGCCUGAACCAGCCAAGUCGCGUGAGGGAGGACGGCCCUACGGGUUGUAAACCUCUUUUGCCGGGGAGCAACGGGCGUCACGUGUGGCGCCACUGAGAGUACCCGGAGAAAAAGCAUCGGCUAACUCCGUGCCAGCAGCCGCGGUAAUACGGAGGAUGCGAGCGUUAUCCGGAUUUACUGGGUGUAAAGGGGGCGCAGACGGCCAUGGCAAGCCCGGUGUGAAAGGCAGGGGCAUAACCCCUGGACUGCACUGGGAACUGUCAGGCUGGAGUGCCGGAGGGGUAAGCGGAAUUCCUGGUGUAGCGGUGAAAUGCGUAGAUAUCAGGAGGAACACCGGCGGCGAAGGCGGCUUACUGGACGGCAACUGACGUUGAGGCCCGAAAGCGUGGGGAGCGAACAGGAUUAGAUACCCGUGUAU
rnacentral:rRNA from 1 species